GCGGCAGUAACACAACAGCAAGACGCUAGCGUGGCUCUAACAUUUGCGCGGCGCUAAAGGAUAGAUUUCCAAUUACCCAUCAUGCUUUGCGACGGAUGCCAUACUGUGUGUCUUAGAGUUCAGAGAACAUAGUUGAAUGGUGAACCGCGAAGUUUUUUCGAUGGUUAAUUUUUCCGUUUGGUGUAAAAGUUAUGACGUCGUUUAAAGCAAAUGCAAACGUUUUGGAGUUUGAUGCUUUAAGCAGAGCCAGAUACUUGGAGAAAUUGAAGGACAUUGGCGGUAAAGAUCCAUAUGAAUUUCAAGCAAGCGACUGGAGUGACUAUGUGGAAGGCUACCCUGACAUUACAUAUCCGAUAUUGUUAAUUAUCACGUGAAUUCUAUGAGCGCAUAUAGCCUUGAUGAACUGAAGGCUUACAAGUCUCUACAAGCCUACAAUUACUUUGUAAGUGGGUGGGUUCAAGAUGUACGGCAACGGGUGAUCGGUAAUAAGUGUGUAAUGGCGGCUCGAGCGAGACAUUCUCAGAGGUCUACCGAUCCACUACUACGUCCCUGCAUCAUACGCCAAAAAGAUGGCUGCGUUCUCUCCCAUCAUUGUACUUGUAUGGCUGGUCUUGGAGAAGUGUGUUGACACGUGGCUGCCCUUCUUUAUGCAGUCGAGGCUUCAUUAAAAUUACGGGAUAGCAAGACAGUUAUAGAAGAAAGGUCUUACUGGUUACCCCCUUCUGCAGUUAAAAAUAUUGGAGUCGCGAGUGAGCUGGAGCCUGUCCCACCUGUAUUUUGGGCCAUAGACCAAACCCUCACUCCAACCACUGGACUGGUUGCUAGGGAAUUAUAGGGGACAUAUUGACAGGUUCCACGUACAUCUUCUCCUUUGGCAGCAGCGCCUCAUAGCACGGAGAGUAACCGGCGGGGGGCAGGAACUUGAAAUCUCCGUGGCGUCCACCCAACAAGAAACGCACUCUGAUGAAGCAAGAGUGAAACAUACUUGACACCAGCAGAGAAACUGAUGACAGGGAAGAAGAAUCCAUCCGUGUUGAAGUCUUCAAACAUGCCCUGCACGGGCUGCCCGUUGAUCCUAAAGGACAUGCUGGGGGAGCCCAAGUCCAGACAGCAGCUAACCACGUCGUCUGAAGUCAGCAGGUGCUGGUUAAUGGAGGCCACUGCCCGUGGGACGCGACCUGGACAAAAUGAAGGACACAUACACACAGGCGGAGAGUCAGUAGUAGUGAAGAUUCCCACCUGACCAGAGGUGAAGACCGUCAAAGCUGUAUGAGUAGAGAUCGUCGCCCACGCCGUUGCCUCCCCACCCCUCGCCUCCACCAGGAUACGGGGCGUAGCCUUUCGUGUUCGCCCAGCCCACCCUCAGGGUCGACAGAUGAUGAUGCCGAGAGAUCCAUCACUCGCGGUCACUUACCCAGGAGCUCGUAGAGGAGGUUGAGGAUGUCCUUCCACGCUGCCCCCGCCUCCUCCCCAGCCAUCUCACCAAAGUGGGCGGCGCUGUUGUACAGGGUGUACCCCACCUCAUACCCGAUGAUAGCUGGGAUAGGCUCCAGCCCUCCUGCGACCCUUGUGAGGAUGUGCGGCUCAGAAAAUGGAUGGAUGGAAGAAGAAUAAGAAGGAAAUCAUUUGUUCCAUUGUGAUCCUACAGUACAGGUCCAAGACGAGACGAUUUGGCAUCAGGCGCUUGGUAGGACAGCCACAGUCCAGUUGCCACAUGCAUGACGAAGCAGACAGAAUCGCCGUAUUUGAUCUCCGGCACUCCCAUGCCCUCAACGUCUCUCUUUGGGCCCGACUCACUCUUUUCCUGUUUAAGAUCAGUCCCCGGUCCUCGGUCAAGGCCAGGUAAUGGCCGGUGGAGAGGUGGCGUAGUCGGAAGGCCUGACCCCAGCGAAUGUGGCUUCCGCUCCAGCUGCACGUAGCACGCGUCACAAGCUUUUAGAUUUCGGAAUCAAUUCACAUUAAACGAGCGGCUCGCGAUAUCUCCUGUGGUAGAGGAGACUGAAAGAGAUGUCAACAGAGUUCGCUGGAGGAGCAACAAUUGGGAGUGGCAGCUCAGAAGAAAUGCCCAUCUAUCUAUCUAUCUAUCUAUCUAUCUAUCUAUCUAUCUAUCUAUCUAUCUAUCUAUCUAUCUAUCUAUCUAUCUAUCUAUCUAUCUAUCUAUCUAUCUAUCUAUCUAUCUAUCUAUCUAUCUAUCUAUCUAUCUAUCUAUCUAUCUAUCUAUCUAUCUAUCAUGUGUAUAUAUAGAGUAUGUAUUCAGUUCUGAGGACCCGGGUUCGAUCCCGGCCCCACCUGUGUGGAGUUUGCAUGUUCUCCCCAUCCCUGCGUGGGUUUUCUCCCACAUUCCAAAAACAUGCAACAUUAAUUGGACACUCUAAAUUUCCCCCAGGUGUGGUUGUGAGUGCGG